GUUGGCACUUCGUCGUUUACGACGACGAUGAUUCCAGUUGAUCGGAUCAACAGAACAGACUACUCGUGGAAUUAGCGUGCAAGAGGCUGAGGACUUCAAAUUACGUGCACCCUUAACGUAGUUCUCGGGGAAAUUCAGAAAUCGGAAGA